rnacentral:lncRNA from 1 species
UGAAACGAAAACUAGACAACGACCCAGGGUCGUUUUUGGGUUGAAACGAUCAAGAGAAAUUCAAAAGACGCCGCUAUUUUCGGGAGGCAACUAGCAAAGGGAGAAUGUGUUACUACGUUAUCCCAAGAAAGGAACAAAACUGCACUAAAACACAACACAAAGAAAGCAAAUUUUAAUCAGUUGAACCAAAAAAUAAUCGAUGAAAGACUAAACAAACGGUAAGCAUAAAAAAAAAACCACGCACCUGGGAUUCAAUGUCGCAAGAGAGAAAAAGCGAGGAGGAAGACGAUAAAGAUAUAAAAUACAACAAUAGAAUGCCGCAACAAAAAGAAGACGUGCCGAAAGGGAGAAAAAGAAGAGUGUCGCGAGAGAAAAAGGAGAAGAGGAAGAGGAAGAUAUCAGAAACUGAAUGCCGCGAAGAGUUUGCGGUCUAUUUAAAAUGAAACUGGGCGUCGGUUUCUCCAGAUAGCCGACAUCUAUAUGACUAUAGACGUCAGUUCAGUUACUAAUUCAACGUCCAAGUUAACUUUUUGAAUCCCACUAGACGUCGGUCACAAUGGGAGCCGACGUCUAAGAAGCUGAAAUGAU